rnacentral:rRNA from 1 species
CCUACGGGGGGCAGCAGUGGGGAAUAUUGCACAAUGGGGGAAACCCUGAUGCAGCAACGCCGCGUGAGUGAGGAAGUAUUUCGGUAUGUAAAGCUCUAUCAGCAGGGAAUAGAAAAGAAGGUACCUGAAAAAGAAGCCCCGGCUAACUACGUGCCAGCAGCCGCGGUAAUACGUAGGGGGCAAGCGUUAUCCGGAUUUACUGGGUGUAAAGGGAGCGUAGACGGAAAGGCAAGUCAGAAGUGAAAGCCCAAGGCUCAACCAUGGGACUGCUUUUGAACGUGUCAAACUAGAGUAGGGAAGAGGUAAGAGGAAUGACUAGUGAAGUGGUGAAAGGCGUAGAUAUUAGGAUGAACACCAGUGGCGAAGG